AGUGAACGCUGGCGGCAGGCCUAACACAUGCAAGUCGAACGGCAGCACAGUAAGAGCUUGCUCUUAUGGGUGGCGAGUGGCGGACGGGUGAGGAAUACAUCGGAAUCUACCUUUUGGUGGGGGAUAACGUAGGGAAACUUACGCUAAUACCGCAUACGCCCUUCGGGGGAAAGCCGGGGACCUUUUAGGCCUGGCGCUGAUAGAUGAGCCGAUGUCGGAUUAGCUGGUUGGUGAGGUAAUGGCUCACCAAGGCGACGAUCCGUAGCUGGUCUGAGAGGAUGAUCAGCCACACUGGAACUGAGACACGGUCCAGACUCCUACGGGAGGCAGCAGUGGGGAAUAUUGGACAAUGGGCGCAAGCCUGAUCCAGCCAUACCGCGUGGGUGAAGAAGGCCUUCGGGUUGUAAAGCCCUUUUGUUGGGAAAGAAAAGCAUUCGGUUAAUACCCGGGUGUUCUGACGGUACCCAAAGAAUAAGCACCGGCUAACUUCGUGCCAGCCGCCGCCGUA
rnacentral:rRNA from 1 species